AUGCAAGGAUCAGUAAAGAAACAAGACGUAUGCACAGUUUUUGCAGGUAAAGGGAGAUGUUUAUUGUGCAAUAAUAUGUUUGAUAGCUCAUUAAAUAAUCAUUUUUUUCCAGUUUUACCUCUAUGCAUUUUGUGGAAAGCUGCAUCUGCUAUAUGCUCCCUCUUGGCAGCCUGGCACCCUGAAGAGUUGAAAUGCCAUCAUGUGGCUUUUGACAGACUACAUUUUUUUCUUGUAUGAACGUAUGAUGUGCACUCAAGAAAAUUCAAAGUUAACAAGACUCAUACUGCAGUUUAGAAGAAAGAAAACAAGUUGCAUUAAAUGACAUUUUCCUGUUUUAAGAGAACUGGAUGAUCAAUUAGCAUCUGUUUACUGAAAAGCUUAAUUUGCAAUAAUAAUAAUAAAUCAUGUUUGGGAUGACUAUUGUAAGAGUUC
rnacentral:lncRNA from 1 species